rnacentral:rRNA from 1 species
CCUACGGGGGGCAGCAGUAAGGAAUCUUCGACAAUGGGCGAAAGCCUGAUGGAGCAACGCAGCGUGGGUGAAGAAGGCCUUCGGAUCUUAAAACCCUGUUGUUAGAGAAGUAAGUGCGUGAGAGUAACUGUUCACGUUUCGACGGUAUCUAUCCAGAACGCCACGGCUAACUACGUGCCAGCAGCCGCGGUGAUACGUAGGUGGCAAGCGUUAUCCGGAUUUAUUGGGCGUAAAGGGAGCGCAGGCGGUCUUUUAAGUGUGAUGUGAAAGCUUUCGGCUUAACCUUAGUAGUGCAUUGGAAACUGGGAGACUUGAGUGCAGAAGAGGAGAGUGGAACUCGAGGUGUAGCGGUGAAAUGCGUAGAUAUAUGGAAGAACACCAGUGGCGAAAGCGGCUCUCUGGUCUGUAACUGACGCUGAGGUUCGAAAGCGUGGGUAGCAAACAGGAUUAGAUACCCUGGUAGUC